CGUAUAAGUCGAGGAAGAAUAUUCUGGACUCCCUGAAUCGUUCACGGCCAGAGCGCCACGUGUGCUGCUCUUUGGUGCGACGUACGACCAUUGGCCGUAUGAAAAAAUUAAACCUCUCGUUUAUUGAGAUUAAAAUGGAAGAAAAUCAACGGCGAGCUCGUCUGCAUAUUGUGGCCGUUUAUAUUUACUGCAUAUGAUGUCGCGAUCGUUAUCGUCGUUAUCAACAUCGCGUGCCAUUUUUCCUCGUUUACGACUCGUGACGUACUGAUCCUAUUUCUCGCGAUGAAAUAUACGGCUGAUGUAUAUUCGCAAAUUUAAAUGAGUUUUAAGAAA